AGUGAACGCUGGCGGUAGGCCUAACACAUGCAAGUCGAACGGCAGCACAGUAAUAGCUUGCUCUUACGGGUGGCGAGUGGCGGACGGGUGAGGAAUACAUCGGAAUCUACUUUUUCGUGGGGGAUAACGUAGGGAAACUUACGCUAAUACCGCAUACGACCUACGGGUGAAAGCAGGGGAUCUUCGGACCUUGCGCGAUUGAAUGAGCCGAUGUCGGAUUAGCUAGUUGGCGGGGUAAAGGCCCACCAAGGCGACGAUCCGUAGCUGGUCUGAGAGGAUGAUCAGCGACACUGGAACUGAGACACGGUCCAGACUCCUACGGGAGGCACAAGUGGGGAAUAUUGGACAAUGGGCGCAAGCCUGAUCCAGCCAUACCGCGUGGGUGAAGAAGGCCUUCGGGUUGUAAAGCCCUUUUGUUGGGAAAGAAAAGCAGCAGGUUAAUACCACGCUGUUCUGACGGUACCCAAAGAAUAAGCACCGGCUAACUUCGUG
rnacentral:rRNA from 1 species